GAUGAACGCUGACAGAAUGCUUAACACAUGCAAGUCGAUGGGGAAGUGGUGCUUGCACCAUGGCAACCAUGGCGGACGGGUGAGUAACGCGUAAGGGACUUACCUGCAGGACUGGGAUAACAGGGGGAAACUCCUGACAAGACCGGAUAAUGUCAUGGAGCUGCAUGGCUUUAUGAUGAAAGGAGACGCCUGCGGAGAGCCUUGCGUCCUAUUAGCUAGUUGGUGAGGUAAUGGCUCACCAAGGCGAAGAUAGGUAGCCGGCCUGAGAGGGUGGACGGCCACAAGGGGACUGAGAUACGGCCCUUACUCCUACGGGAGGCAGCAGUGGGGAAUAUUGGACAAUGGGGGCAACCCUGAUCCAGCAAUUCUGUGUGCACGAAGAAGGUUUUCGGAUUGUAAAGUGCUUUCAGCAGGGAAGAAGUAAGUGACGGUACCUGCAGAAGAAGCGACGGCUAAAUACGU
rnacentral:rRNA from 1 species